rnacentral:rRNA from 1 species
UACGAGGGGGGCGAGCGUUGUUCGGAAUUAUUGGGCGUAAAGGGCGCGUAGGCGGUGCGGUAAGUCACCUGUGAAACCUCUGGGCUUAACUCAGAGCCUGCAGGCGAAACUGCCGCGCUGGAGUGUGGGAGAGGUGCGUGGAAUUCCAGGUGUAGUGGUGAAAUACGUAGAUAUCUGGAGGAACACCGGUGGCGAAGGCGGCGACCUGGUCCUAUACUGACACUCAUACACGAAAGCGUGGGGAUCAAACAGG